CUGCUUCCCAACUGUGCUAAGCCACCAACCACUUUAAGCUCCUACUGCCAUUGCCUUCUUCUCCACUAAGGACUAACCUCUUAAAUGCACUGUGAAUGGACUGAUGCAGGGGCCACAGCAGUACCAGCACCAGGUUAUGCUCAGCCACAGCACAAGAACCAAGCACAAAAGCCACGAACCCCCUCUGCUCUGCAUCAGGUGGCAAGAUGGUCAGGGCAAACCCAAUAAAGUCUAGCCCAAUGUCAUCUGACCCUGGGUCAGUCUGGACCUAGAGGACCAAGGAGUCUGGACGCCUGGAGUUUGGAAAGGUUAGCCACUUGGUGGCGCUGUGAGUAUGAAAGGAAGGCACUAUAGCCAAUAAGCCUUUUGCAAGACCGGAGACGUGACUUGGAGAAAAACUAGGGGCAAUGUAAGGAGCUCAGCCGACAUCCGGGCCCCAGCAGGAAACAAAUACGGACUUGGAGAGGUGCUGUGAGACACCAGGAGGCAGACAGGGCAGGAAUGACGACUGUCUGUCUCAUGACCAGGAAACUGGGCUCUCGAGGUUAUGGGACCUAUUCAGCUUUCCUUGACUCCAUACUGUUUGGUUAGGAAAGGGCAUAUGUGUAUAGUGAACAAUACAGGGGAAGGGAGUCUACAGAGAACUGGUGAACUCUAGCUGACCCAACAGACCUCCGAUAUGGAGGAAAAGGAAGACAUGCAAAGUGGCCCAAAGCUGGGAAACCUACAGGUCAAAAAGUGAAGCAGGGCCUGGAGGUGGUAGCACACACCUUUAAUCCCAGCAUUAGGAAAGCAGAGGCAGGCUAAUCUUCAUGAGUUCAAGGCUAGCCUAAUCUAUAGAACAAGUUCCAGAACAGCCAGAGCUACACAGAGAAACCUAGUCUUGAAAAGACAAACAAAUAAACAAAUAACAACAACAACAAAAAGUGAAGUGCAGCCUGUUAGGACAAGGCCUUGACUGAGCAUGGCUGUUCUCCAGCCUCUCAGGACACCGUGCCUGCUAACUGUGGACAGUGUCACGGUAGGGUGACAAUGGAUAACAAUAAUAGGUCAUAGUUUUCAAAAAAAAAAAAAAGGGAGAGAGCUGGAAUUUGUUUCUGAGCAGGGUCUCUGUGCAACCUUGGAACUCACUAUGUACACCCAGGCUGGCCUCAAACUCAGAGACUGCCUCUGCCUCCCAAACUCUGGGAUUAAAGGUGUAUACCACCACACCCUGCCUAAGAGCUGGAGUUUUAACCCUGAGGUAGAUCCCUUGCCCAGCACUGAAGAGUUGUCAGCACCCAUAGGUACCUGAUGCCCCCUUCUGGCCUCCUUGGGCACUGCAUGCACAGAGCAGCAUAAAAUAAAAAUAAAUAUUUUUAAUUGGU